ensembl:lncRNA
CUGUUCAGCCCAGGAACUGGGAUUUGCUUGGUGCCUUCCUAUAUUUAGCAUACAGUAAUGUAACUGAAGCAACCAAAUUAGACUCGCAAAUAGACCGGUUUCUCAGUACUUAAUCAAGGACCUUUUCCCAGAACUGCAGAGGGCUGAAAUUAAAAGAAAGGAAUGCGUGGUAAUCAGCCCAGAAGGACAGAAGGAAACCACCAUGAGUCUGAAGUCCAAAUAUGCACUCUGGCCAACUGAAUGUACCGUUGUUUGAAUUCAAUGCGGCUGCAGAGCAGCUCAGCCCAGGGAUCACACACAGCACUCCAUAGGGCAGAGCCCACGUGUAAGGAACUACUGAGGAACUGCAGCUCUGGAGAUCUGUAUAGAAGGGAGUGACCGAACGACAGAUCCAGCAUACAGACUGCGAAACACAUACGAUGGGCAACCAUCAGUGUGGCAGCACAAAACAGCCAAGCAAGGAGAGGAGGCAGGAGCCCACAGCACUGCUCUCCUUCAAAUUCACUGCUGAUGGGUCUUACAAGGGAACAGCUCUCUGCUGGAUCGGCCAUUGUAGGGAAAGAAGCGCUCUCCCAAAGUGCAGAGAUCUUAAUGUGUUUAUGAGCACCUAAGCUGUGGUACUGAAGUCACUGAAGGAAGAACUGCCCCAGCCCUGAUGCCAACAUCUCCAUGAGCACAGGGAGUGUUGAUGGAGAUGGGGUUCAGAUAAAACAAGCAACUCUGUGCCAAAGGCUUAAAACAGCCAGCACCCCCAGCUCUGAGGCUCUGAAGACAGGCUGGGCUUAGCAGGCAACCACCACUGAGGUCAGGUCAGCUGGCUGAUCCAGGAUAUGACCCAGUGCUAUCAUCAUGAAAAACCUGAAGGGCUGUUUUCACCACUUCUUUGACUCACCAUAGCAUCACAAGGUGUGUUCCCUUUCCUCUCACCUGCCAUGGGGCACUUGCAGAUCACAGAGGUCUCCUGGAAUGAAACGCUACUGACAGUGACCAGGGGAUCCUGUGCUAUUGCCCAGAGCAAAAACCAGUCAGUGGGGAGAACUUUUGCUGGAUCCCUGACCCUUCGUCCAGGGGAAAGGCAACUGGCUUCAAUGCCACAUUAGGCUCCCUUCUGUGCAGAGGGAACUUGGGCUUUGCAGUUUGCAAGCAGUCAUGGAGGAGGUGGAGUGAACAUGCGGCUGGCAAUGGAAAACCUCUCUGAGGAAACCGAAGAGCUUUUGCCCUUCUUUCUGGAGCAUGUCCUGUUCUCUUCUGAGAAACCAGGUCUGGACAGUUGAGCUGCAUAGUCUCUUACUUAACCAAGCCUUCAGAAAGGAGAAGUCAAGGAAGAAAAAGCCAUCCAUGAGAAAAGUUGCACGUAUUUUCAGCAGAUCCCUCUUUGCUGCCUGCUUCUGCAGGCAGAGCUCCUGACUGGUGGGUAUGGAUGACUGCCUUGCAGCCUUCUGUAUGACAUAGGCAAUGGACAAUGCAUUCUGAAUGCCAGGACACCUUGUUUCUUCCUCAAGAAGGAAACAGUAAAGCACUUGCUCCUUGGUGCGGCAGCAGCUCCUAUCCUUGCAGGAGCUCAGAGGGAACCAGGACCUGCUACCAUCCUAAAGGUAAGAACCGCUGUUGAAGCAUGAAAAAGAAAGCACGCUGCUUUUGGAAUCAGGCUCUGGCUUGCACCUUCCCCUUCCUUGUGGCCCUAAG